AUAAAAUAAAAUAAAAAAUAAAAAUUGUGACAAUAUAAAACCUGUCUUCAAUUGAUUAAUUUUUUUCCUUCUAAAGUCUAUUAUUACAGUUAGCACCAGGAGAAUAUUAUGAAAAGUAGGUCCAUACCCCAAAUUCAUGGGUAUAGACAUAGCUAACAUAAAGUAAUGGUAACAGAGUGUCCAAAAGUUAAUAGCAUAGAAUAAAAACAUCCAGAAGACCUAUUAAUUAUUUUGUUGUUAUUAAGCAUAAGCAUGAGUUAGAAGAAAAUGCAAUAAUUACCUUCUCUUCCACCUUGUAGAACGAAAAGGUAUCACCCAGACUUAAACAAAAGCAAAAAAAGGCUCCAUGUACAUAAGAAACAUAAUCCAUAAAAAAGAAAAUGUUAAGUUGAAUCCAGCUUAACAAUUCAGUUUAAUUCAAAAUGUCAACAGACCUGAACUAUGAAUAGUCAAAUUCAACAUUCAACUUCCA
rnacentral:misc_RNA from 1 species